rnacentral:rRNA from 1 species
AGAGUUUGAUCAUGGCUCAGGAUGAACGCUAGCGGCAGGCUUAAUACAUGCAAGUCGAGGGGCAACAGGGGUAGCGAUACCUGCUGGCGACCGGCAAACGGGUGCGCAACACGUACAGAACCUUCCUUUAAGCGGGGGGAUAGCCCAUAGAAAUGUGGAUUAAUACCCCAUGGUAUUAUUGUUUGGCAUCAAAUGAUAAUUAAAGAUUUAUCACUUAGAGAUGGCUGUGCGUCUGAUUAGGUAGUUGGUUGGGGUAAUGGCCCACCAAGCCUUCGAUCAGUAGCUGGUGUGAGAGCACGACCAGUCACACGGGCACUGAGACACGGGCCCGACUCCUACGGGAGGCAGCAGUAAGGAAUAUUGGUCAAUGGAGGCAACUCUGAACCAGCCAUGCCGCGUGAAGGAUGAAGGUCCUCUGGAUUGUAAACUUCUUUUAUGUGGGAAGAAAUGCAUUCUUUAUAGAGUGUUUGACGGUACCAUAGGAAUAAGCACCGGCUAACUCCGUGCCAGCAGCCGCGGUAAUACGGAGGGUGCGAGCGUUAUCCGGAUUCACUGGGUUUAAAGGGUGCGUAGGUGGGGAAGUAAGUCAGUGGUGAAAUCUCCGUGCUUAACAUGGAAACUGCCAUUGAUACUAUUUUUUCUUGAAUUUUCCGGAGGUUAGCGGAAUAUGUCAUGUAGCGGUGAAAUGCUUAGAUAUGACAUAGAACACCAAUUGCGAAGGCAGCUAACUACAGGGAUAUUGACACUGAGGCACGAAAGCGUGGGGAUCAAACAGGAUUAGAUACCCCCGUAGUCC